UGGGGAAUAUUGCACAAUGGGCGAAAGCCUGAUGCAGCGACGCCGCGUGAGGGAUGACGGCCUUCGGGUUGUAAACCUCUUUCAGCAGGGACGAAGCGCAAGUGACGGUACCUGCAGAAGAAGCACCGGCUAACUACGUGCCAGCAGCCGCGGUAAUACGUAGGGUGCAAGCGUUGUCCGGAAUUACUGGGCGUAAAGAGUUCGUAGGCGGUUUGUCGCGUCGUUUGUGAAAACCAGCGGCUCAACUGCUGGCUUGCAGGCGAUACGGGCAGACUUGAGUACUGCAGGGGAGACUGGAAUUCCUGGUGUAGCGGUGAAAUGCGCAGAUAUCAGGAGGAACACCGGUGGCGAAGGCGGGUCUCUGGGCAGUAACUGACGCUGAGGAACGAAAGCGUGGGUAGCGAACAGG
rnacentral:rRNA from 2 species